CCUACGGGUGGCAGCAGUGAGGAAUAUUGGUCAAUGGCCGGAAGGCUGAACCAGCCAAGCCGCGUGAAGGACGAAGGUGCCAAGCAUUGUAAACUUCUUUUGUCAAGGGACAAAAUCAGGCUCGAGAGCCUGACCGAGGGUACUUGAAGAAAAAGCAUCGGCUAACUCCGUGCCAGCAGCCGCGGUAAUACGGAGGAUGCGAGCGUUGUCCGGAUUUACUGGGUGUAAAGGGCGUGUAGCCGGGCUGACAAGUCAGAUGUGAAAUCCGGGGGCUCAACCCCCGAACUGUAUUUGAAACUGUUGGUCUUGAGUAUCGGAGAGGCAGGCGGAAUUCCUAGUGUAGCGGUGAAAUGCGUAGAUAUUAGGAGGAACACCAGUGGCGAAGGCGGCCUGCUGGACGACAACUGACGGUGAGGCGCGAAAGCGUGGGGAGCAAACAGGAUUAGAUACCCGAGUAGUC
rnacentral:rRNA from 1 species